rnacentral:lncRNA from 1 species
AUCACUGUUGGAUAUGUAUUAAAGAAGCUUGUAACAUUUAUUAAGAAGUCGAUAAGUAUAUUUUAUUUGGCUAUUUAGUGUGUAUUGGUGAACAUGAUGUUUUAAAAUUUAUGUAUUAAUUUGUUUGGAGAUAUACAUUGGGUUGCUAGAUAACUAAUUUGCUAAAUGUGUAUCACCUGACCGUAUAUUAUAUAUUGGUAAAUAUUUAAUUUUAGAAACUGUGUAUCGAUUUAUUUAGAUGUGUGUAUUGACUUAUUAGAUGAUUAAUUUAUUAGUGUGUAUUACCUGGUCUUGUAGUAUAUAUUAGUAUAAAAUAAGUUUCGAGAAUAAAUAAGAAAGAAGAUGCCACAUGCGAUUUUUUUUAUUUUUUU